AAGAGCAAACUUAGAUAUUUAUGGCAAUUAUGAGUCUGCUUUGUGUUCCAGCCACAAGGAGAGAAAUCCGAUCUGCCUCCAGAGGAAAAGAGCCGAGCCCCGCGGAAGCCUUGAGGACACCGUGCCCUGCGCUCGCUGACUCAAGCCCCUGGACAGACUUCUCUCCUCGGUCAGUGCCCGCGGGGAACUCUGGCCUGGGAACACCUGGAGACACGCGUUAGCCAAACGCGCAUCGGCUGGGGAACGGAUGGAGAAACGGGGGUGCAGGCUGCUAGUUGGGUGUUCCAAUCAAAGUGUCUGAAGAAAUGCCGACACCACCCAGUACGGCUUAAACUGAGCAACCUAACGGAAAAUACUCCAAAUGUCAACGGAGGAAACAAGGCACUUUCUGAGCCCAGGCCGCGGAGCCCGAGGCACAGUGUGCCUGAGGGGCGCCAUCCCAGGCCGGCAAGAGGAAGGCAGAAGGGGAGUGAGCCAGGCUCCACGUUAUGCUGGUCUCGGGUGGACAGGAGAACCCAGCGAGGUCUGCUGUUCGGUUCACUCGGGUGAGUCCACCCACACGGGAGGCGGGGUGACCCUGGGGAGACACCUGCAUCGGGUUGAAUGCAGUAGAAGGAGGCUAAUGCACAUUCCCAGUCUCACCGCUGGCACCUGGCCGAGCUGGGAUUGAACCCACACAGUCUGGCUCAAACGAAGAUGGGCCUCACUCACUACACUAUGCCUCUGGGGUCAGACAGAGAGCUUCCCUCCCUGGGAGGUCAGUGGUGCCAUCAGGGGGAAGCUCAGAGCGGGGGGCCCGGGCAGAGGGUAGAGGAGCCCCCUCCCUGCCCCCAGCCCCAAGGAAGAGCUAUCCUGGACACGAAGACAGGGUGGAGAUUUUGUUGUCAGUGUCAUUUUCCCCUUCGCUCCAUUUUGCUGUGUUCUCUAGCACCUGUCUGCCCCGUUCUAGCCAUC